UCCGUUUGAUCCUGGCGGAGGCCACUGCUAUCGGAGUUCGAUUAAGCCAUGCGAGUCGAGAGGUGUAAGACCUCGGCAUACUGCUCAGUAACACGUGGACAACCUACCCUGAAGAGGGGGAUAACCCCGGGAAACUGGGGAUAAUACCCCAUAGACUAUGGAUGCUGGAAUGCUUUGUAGUUGAAAGGUCCGCCGCUUCAGGAUGGGUCUGCGGCCGAUUAGGUUGUUGUUGGGGUAACGGCCCAACAAGCCUGUAAUCGGUACGGGUUGUGGGAGCAAGAGCCCGGAGAUGGAUUCUGAGACACGAAUCCAGGCCCUACGGGGCGCAGCAGGCGCGAAAACUUUACAAUGCGAGCAAUCGUGAUAAGGGAACUCCGAGUGCCUGUAAAAUCAGGCUGUCCGCCAGUGUAAAUAACUGGUGAAGAAAGGGCCGGGCAAGACCGGUGCCAGCCGCCGCGGUAAUACCGGCGGCUCGAGUGGUGGCCACUAUUACUGGGCUUAAAGCGUUCGUAGCUGGUCUGUUAAGUCUCUGGGGAAAUCUUCCGGCUUAACCGGAAGGCGUCUCAGGGAUACUGGCAGACUAGGGACCGGAAGAGGUGAGAGGUACUCCAGGGGUAGGAGUGAAAUCCUGUAAUCCUUGGGGGACCACCUGUGGCGAAGGCGUCUCACCAGGACGGCUCCGACAGUGAGGAACGAAAGCUGGGGGAGCAAACCGGAUUAGAUACCCGGGUAGUCCCAGCUGUAAACGAUGCGCGUUAGGUGUAUCGGUGACCACGAGUCACCGAGGUGCCGAAGAGAAAUCGUGAAACGCGCCGCCUGGGAAGUACGGUCGCAGGGCUGAAACUUAAAGGAAUUGGCGGGGGAGCACCACAACGGGUGGAGCCUGCGGUUUAAUCGGACUCAACGCCGGGAAACUCACCGGACAAGACAGCUGAAUGAUAGUCGGGCUGAAGACUCUACUUGACUAGCUGAGAGGAGGUGCAUGGCCGUCGUCAGUUCGUACUGUGAAGCAUCCUGUUAAGUCAGGCAACGAGCGAGACCCA
rnacentral:rRNA from 1 species